rnacentral:rRNA from 1 species
AUUGAACGCUGGCGGCAGGCCUAACACAUGCAAGUCGAGCGGAUGAAGGGAGCUUGCUCCUGGAUUCAGCGGCGGACGGGUGAGUAAUGCCUAGGAAUCUGCCUGGUAGUGGGGGAUAACGUCCGGAAACGGGCGCUAAUACCGCAUACGUCCUGAGGGAGAAAGUGGGGGAUCUUCGGACCUCACGCUAUCAGAUGAGCCUAGGUCGGAUUAGCUAGUUGGUGGGGUAAAGGCCUACCAAGGCGACGAUCCGUAACUGGUCUGAGAGGAUGAUCAGUCACACUGGAACUGAGACACGGUCCAGACUCCUACGGGAGGCAGCAGUGGGGAAUAUUGGACGAUGGGCGAAAGCCUGAUCCAGCCAUGCCGCGUGUGUGAAGAAGGUCUUCGGAUUGUAAAGCACUUUAAGUUGGGAGGAAGGGCAGUAAGUUAAUACCUUGCUGUUUUGACGUUACCAACAGAAUAAGCACCGGCGAACUUCG